UACGGGGGGAGCAAGCGUUGUUCGGAUUUACUGGGCGUAAAGGGCGCGUAGGCGGUCGUGACAAGUCACUUGUGAAAUCUCCGGGCUUAACUCGGAACGGUCAAGUGAUACUGUCGGACUAGAGUACAGAAGGGGCAACUGGAAUUCUCGGUGUAGCGGUGAAAUGCGUAGAUAUCGAGAGGAACACCAGUGGCGAAGGCGGCUCACUGGCCCGAUACUGACGCUGAGGUGCGAAAGCGUGGGGACGCAAACAGG
rnacentral:rRNA from 1 species